AGCCACUGUUAUGGGGGUCCGACUAAGCCAUGCGAGUCACGGGGUCCCUUCGGGGACACCGGCGGACGGCUCAGUAACACGUCGGUAACCUACCCUCGGGAGGGGGAUAACCCCGGGAAACUGGGGCUAAUCCCCCAUAGGCCUGAGGUACUGGAAGGUCCUCAGGCCGAAAGGGUCUCUGACCGCCUGAGGAUGGGCCGGCGGCCGAUUAGGUAGUAGGUGGUGUAACGGACCACCUAGCCUACGAUCGGUAGGGGCCGUGAGAGCGGUAGCCCCGAGAUGGGCCCUGAGACAAUGGCCCAGGCCCUAUGGGGUGCAGCAGGCGCGAAAACUGCGCACUGUGCGAAAGCACGACGCGGCCACACCGAGUGCCUCCAACUAGGAGGCUGUGCCCGUGUCUAGAAAGCACGGGGUAGCAAGGAGAGGGCAAGACUGGUGCCAGCCGCCGCGGUAACACCAGCUCUUCGAGUGGUGGGCGCUUUUGCUGGGCCUAAAGCGUCCGUAGGCGGGCAUAGCAGCUGCGGGUCAAAUCUCACGUCUUAAGCGUGAGCCUGCCCGUAGUACGCUAUGCCUUGGGACCGGGAGAGGGAUACCGUACGCCCUGGGUAGGGGUGAAAUCCACUGAUCCAGGGUGGACGACCGGUGGCGAAGGCGGUAUCCUGGAACGGGUCCGACGGUGAGGGACGAAGGCCAGGGGAGCAAACCGGAUUAGAUACCCGGGUAGUCCUGGCUGUAAAGGAUGCGGGCUAGGUGUCGGGCGAGCUUCGAGCUCGCCCGGUGCCGAAGGGAAGCCGUUAAGCCCGCCGCCUGGGGAGUACGGCCGCAAGGCUGAAACUUAAAGGAAUUGGCGGGAGAGCACUGCAACGGGAGGAGCGUGCGGUUU
rnacentral:rRNA from 1 species